ensembl:lncRNA
GUGUUGGUUUCUCAGACAGACGUAGAGGGUUUAAUGUCUGUGUGGUCAGCGGGGUGUUGGUUUCUCAGACAGACGGUAGAGGGUUUAAUGUCUGUGGUCGGCGGGGUGUUGGUUUCUCAGACAGACGUAGAGGGUUUAAUGUCUGUGUGGUCAGCGGGGUGUUUGGUUUCUCAGUCAGACGGUAGAGGGUUUAAUGUCUGUGGUCAGCGGGGUGUUGGUUUCUCAGACAGACGGUAGAGUGUUGGUUUCUCAGACAGACGGUAGAGGGUUUAAUGUCUGUGUGGUCAGCGGGGUGUUGGUUUCUCAGACAGACGGUAGAGGGUUUAAUGUCUGUGUGGUCAGCAGGGUGUUGGUUUCUCAGACAGACGUAGAGGGUUUAAUGUCUGUGGUCAGCGGGGUGUUGGUUUCUCAGACAGACGGUAGAGGGUUUAAUGUCUGUGGUCAGCGGGGGUGUUGGUUUCUCAGACAGACGGUAGAGGGUUUAAUGUCUGUGGUCAGCGGGGUGUUGGUUUCUCAGACAGAUGGUAGAGGGUUUAAUGUCUGUGUGGUCAGCGGGGUGUUGGUUUCUCAGACAGACGGUAGAGGGUUUAAUGUCUGUGGUCAGCGGGGUGUUGGUUUCUCAGACAGAUGGUAGAGGGUUUAAUGUCUGUGGUCAGCGGGGUGUUGGUUUCUCAGACAGACGGUAGAGGGUUUAAUGUCUGUGGUCAGCAGGGUGUUGGUUUCUCAGACAGACGGUAGAGGGUUUAAUGUCUGUGUGGUCAGCGGGGUGUUGGGUUCUCAGACAGACGGUAGAGGGUUUAAUGUCUGUGUGGUCAGCGGGGUGUUGGUUUCUCAGACAGACGGUAGAGGGUUUAAUGUCUGUGGUCAGCGGGGUGUUGGUUUCUCAGACAGACGGUAGAGGGUUUAAUGUCUGUGGUCAGCGGGGGUGUUGGUUUCUCAGACAGACGGUAGAGGGUUUAAUGUCUGUGUGGUCAGCGGGGUGUUUGGUUUCUCAGACAGACGGUAGAGGGUUUUAAUGUCUGUGGUCAGCGGGGUGUUGGUUUCUCAGACAGACGGUAGAGGGUUUAAUGUCUGUGUGGUCAGCGGGGUGUUGGUUUCUCAGACAGACGGUAGAGGGUUUAAUGUCUGUGGUCAGCGGGGUGUUGGUUUCUCAGACAGACGGUAGAGGGUUUAAUGUCUGUGGUCAGCGGGGUGUUGGUUUCUCAGACAGACGGUAGAGGGUUUAAUGUCUGUGGUCAGCAGGGUGUUGGUUUCUCAGACAGACGGUAGAGGGUUUAAUGUCUGUGGUCAGCGGGGUGUUGGUUUCUCAGACAGACGGUAGAGGGUUUAAUGUCUGUGUGGUCAGCGGGGUGUUUGGUUUCUCAGACAGACGGUAGAGGGUUUAAUGUCUGUGGUCAGCAGGGUGUUGGUUUCUCAGACAGACGGUAGAGGGUUUAAUGUCUGUGGUCAGCAGGGUGUUGGUUUCUCAGACAGACGGUAGAGGGUUUAAUGUCUGUGGUCAGCGGGGUGUUGGUUUCUCAGACAGACGGUAGAGGGUUUAAUGUCUGUGGUCAGCAGGGUGUUGGUUUCUCAGACAGACGGUAGAGGGUUUAAUGUCUGUGGUCAGCGGGGUGUUGGUUUCUCAGACAGACGGUAGAGGGUUUAAUGUCUGUGUGGUCAACGGGGUGUUGGUUUCUCAGACAGACGGUAGAGGGUUUAAUGUCUGUGUGGUCAGCGGGGUGUUGGUUUCUCAGACAGACGGUAGAGGGUUUAAUGUCUGUGUGGUCAGCGCGGUGUUGGUUUCUCAGACAGACGGUAGAGGGUUUAAUGUCUGUGUGGUCAGCGGAGUGUUGGUUUCUCAGACAGACGUUAGAGGGUUUAAUGUCUGUGGUCAGCGGGGUGUUGGUUUCUCAGUCAAACGGUAGAGGGUUUAAUGUUUGUGGUCAGCGGGGUGUUGGUUUCUCAGACAGACGGUAGAGGAUUUCAUGUCUGUGGUCAGCGGGGUGUUGGUUCCUCAGACAGACGGUAGAGGGUUUAAUGUCUGUGGUCAGCGGGAUGUUUGUUUCUCAGACAGACGGUAGAGGGUUUAAUGUCUGUGGUCAGCGGGGUGUUGGUUUCUCAGACAGACGGUAGAGGGUUUAAUGUCUGUGUGGUCAGCGGGGUGUUGGUUUCUCAGUCAGACGGUAGAGGAUUUAAUGUCUGUGUGGUCAGCGGGGUGUUGGUUUCUCAGACAGCCGGUAGAGAGUUUAAUGUCUGUGGUCAGCGGGGUGUUGGUUUCUCAGACAGACGGUAGAGGGUUUAAUGUCUGUGGUCAGCGGGGUGUUGGUUUCUCAGACAGACGGUAGAGGGUUUAAUGUCUGUGGUCAGCGGGGUGUUGGUUUCUCAGACAGACGGUAGAGGGUUUAAUGUCUGUGUGGUCAGCGGGGUGUUGGUUUCUCAGACAGACGGUAGAGGGUUUAAUGUCUGUGUGGUCAGCGGGGUGUUGGUUUCUCAGUCAGACGGUAGAGGAUUUAAUGUCUGUGUGGUCAGCGGGGUGUUUGGUUUCUCAGACAGACGGUAGAGGGUUUAAUGUCUGUGGUCAGCGGGGUGUUGGUUUCUCAGACAGACGGUAGAGGGUUUAAUGUCUGUGGUCAGCGGGGUGUUGGUUUCUCAGUCAGACGGUAGAGGGUUUAAUGUCUGUGUGGUCAGCGGGGUGUUGGUUUCUCAGACAGACGGUAGAGGGGUUUAAUGUCUGUGGUCAGCGGGGUGUUGGUUUCUCAGACAGACGGUAGAGGGUUUAAUGUCUGUGUGGUCAGCGGGGUGUUGGUUUCUCAGACAGACGGUAGAGGGUUUAAUGUCUGUGUGGUCAGCGGGGUGUUGGUUUCUCAGUCAGACGGUAGAGGGUUUAAUGUCUGUGUGGUCAGCGGGGUGUUGGUUUUCAGACAGACGGUAGAGGGUUUAAUGUCUGUGUGGUCAGCGGAGUGUUGGUUUCUCAGACAGACGUUAGAGGGUUUAAUGUCUGUGGUCAGCGGGGUGUUGGUUUCUCAGACAGACGGUAGAGGAUUUCAUGUCUGUGGUCAGCGGGGUGUUGGUUCCUCAGACAGACGGUAGAGGGUUUAAUGUCUGUGGUCAGCGGGAUGUUUGUUUCUCAGACAGACGGUAGAGGGUUUAAUGUCUGUGGUCAGCGGGGUGUUGGUUUCUCAGACAGACGGUAGAGGGUUUAAUGUCUGUGUGGUCAGCGGGGUGUUGGUUUCUCAGACAGACGGUAGAGGGUUUAAUGUCUGUGGUCAGCAGGGUGUUGGUUUCUCAGACAGACGGUAGAGGGUUUAAUGUCUGU